rnacentral:lncRNA from 10 species
AAAAUGGAGAGAGGAGGGAUGAGAGCUGGAAGGGGGUCAGAAACACCCAAGCACGGGGUUCAGAUGCACAGCAGGCUCCCUAAGUGUGAGUUGCUGUUUCUGCAAACAGGAGUUGUUCCCUGAGCACCUACUCUCUACCAGGCUGAUUGUGAUGACCCAGGAAGGACCCUUGACCCAGUGUCUGGCCUGUAGUAGGGCUCGCACAAAGGGCUCAAAUGGAAAGCAGCUGCAGAGACAGAGAAUCCGAUUGUGAAGGCACCCGAGACUCCAGGCAGGCGGAAGAGGCAGCGUCUUGGGUGCUGGGCUGGGUAACAGAGGCCAGGGUAUUGACCAGAAACUCCAACAAGCAGGGGACAGCUUGGGGGGUGGGGGGUUGUCUCCCACCCCUUCUUCAGGGUGCUGGCCUAGGAGACAGGGACCCCGCCUCGGGCAUCUCCUGCUUAACCUCAGUUUCUGUGUCCAGACAUGGGCAGGCCAUCCUGACUCUCUUAGCCUUGGUUUCCAUCUCCAAAAUGUGUCCAGUAGUGGCACCUUCCUUCUAGGGAGGGGUUGUGUGGUUAAGGUCUCGGGGCGGGCUCCUCAGUCAAACAGGCUUGGCUUUGAUCCUGCCUCUGCCUCUCACUAACUGUGUGACCUGGAGUAAGCCACCUCCCCUCCCUGUGCCUUGAUUUUCCCAUCUGUGAAAUGGAAACAAUAAUAGAACUAAUCUGCUGGGGAGAUGAACUGAGAAGACUCAGCCUGGUGCCUGGAGCAGAGUAAAGACUAAUGAUUAUUGUUGUCUUUCUUUUUGGAGGCAGAGUCUCACUGUGUUGCCCAGCCUGGAGUGCAGUGGCAGUGGCGCGAUCUCGGCUCACUACAAGCUCCACCUCCCAGGUUCAAUCAUUGACCCUCCAGCCUCAGCCUCCCGAGAAGCUAGGACUAUAGGCUCACACCACCAGGCCCAGCUAAUUUUUUGUAUUUUUAGUAGAGACCAGGUUUCACCAUGUUGACCAGGCUGGUCUUGAACUCCUGGCCUGAAGUGAUCUGCCUGCCUUAGCCUCCCAAAUUGCUGGGAUUCCAGGUGUGAGUCACCGCGUCCAGGCAUCUUUCUUAUUAUUAUUAUCCCAGGAGCUCCACCUGCUAAGGCCCCAGCCUCAGAAAGCCUCCCUUCCCCUGAGUGCUGGUUCAUCUCAACAAUUUCCUCACAUAUUUCUUGAGCAGCAACUAUACCGGUCUUGGCAAAGCCAAGGUUCUAUCUAGGAGAAGAAAGACAUUAAAUGAAGGACCCGUGUGUGAAGGGCUUGGUGAGUCUGUGAUGGAGGAAGUCCAGGUGACUUUGGGAGCUAGAGGUCAGGAUGGGCUUCCUGGAGGAAGUGGUUAGGAAUGAAAAUAACAUCUAUUCAGCAUUAUUAUUAUGAUGUGUCAGGCACUGUUCUCUCCUCAACACCCCGCUCCAGAAGGUUUUCUUCUCACACACCCAUUCUACAGGUGAGUCUGGGAUCAAAGAGGCCCAGUAGGGUGUCAGAGGUCACGUAGCCAAGACAUGGCAGAGCUGAGAUGAAACCCCGCAGUGGGACACUGCCCCACUUGCCCCCCGACAGCGCUCUCCAGCCUCCAGGCCUUUGCUCCAGCUCUUCCUUCUGCCCAGACAUUCCAGACCCUGCACCGUCUCAUAUCCACUCUGCUGGAGGAAUGAAGAGAACAGCCCUUGGAGGCCGCAAAGUGUCCUCAAGCCUCAGUUUUCCCAUCUAUGAAAUGGGGAUAGCAUGGGGCUUUCCUCUCGGGCUGCAGAAAGGAUCGAGAAAAGGCUUAUUAUUCACCUAGGGCCUAGCCCUUGGGAACCAGUCCGGAAGGACAGCUGUUAUUAUUGCUAAUGCUGUUCCUAUCACAGUGACAGCGUGUCCCGUUAGGCCUGCAAACCCCUAUACCUCAGUUUUUCCUGUAAUGAAACCUGCCUGCUGAGGCCUCGGUGAGGGCUCAUUUAAUGAUAAUCUUUAGGGAAAAAAAAUACACCCCCCAAGCCGCCUGUGUGGCUGCAGCCCACAGGGGUAACCUGACGCCCCUCGCCUGACCUGGCCCCCAGGUCUUUGUGUGAGUCCUGCCCAGAUUACUGUAUUUGUCCAAACCCAAAGCCAAGGCUGGCAUGAGCUCAAUGCUCUGCAUUGUGCCAGAGCCAGGCCCCCCAGGCCUCAUCCCUCCUCCCGCUGGGGAUCCGGCCCCCAGGAGGUGUCACAGGGGAAAUCGGAAACCCAGCAGGGCCCACUGGGGUGGCCUCCUGGGUGCCAGGCCCUAGGCUUACGCUCCUUGCGUGUUGCCUCAUCAAUCCUUCAUGACCUCACUGUGCAGAAAGGCACAUGCUGUGCCCAUUUUCCAGAUGGAGAGAAUGAGGCCCGGGUAGCCAAAUUGUUGCUACAGUUCAUGCCGGUGGAAGUGGCAGAGCUCAGGUCAGGCUGAAGGAGGACCUGUCCCCAGAAGAGGAACCUGGGAACCCUGGAUCUUCAGCUGGAGCCAGGCAUCUUGGGGAGCAGAGAUGAAGGAAAGCCGAACCAUGUGGCAGGGGGCACCAUGGCUAAGGAUUCCGCCCUGAGUUCAAGUCCAGCUCUGCCACACGCCCUGCACAGAAACCUACUCCUCUCUGAACUUUGCUUUCCUGAACGAAAAAAAUGGGGGAGCAGCUGAGCACGGCAGCUCACGCCUGUAAUCCCAGCACUUUGGGAGGCCGAGGUGGGAAGAUCACUUGAGGUCAGGAGUUUGAGACCAGCCUGACCAACAUGGUGAAACGCUGUCUCUGCUAAAAAGACAAAAUUAGCCAGGCGUGGUGGUGGGCACCUGUAAUCGUAGCUACUCAGGAGGCUGAGGCAGGAGAAUCACUUGAACCUGGGAGGCGGAGGUUGCAGCGAACCCAGAUCGCGACACUGCACUCCAGCAUGGGCAACAGAGCGGGACUCCAUCUAAAAAAUAAGUAAAUAAAUAAAAAGUAACAAUAACAAUAAAUAAAUAAGGGAACAAUAGCUUUUCCUCAGGGGCUGGGAGAGGACUCAGGCCAUAAGGUAGGUGAAACACUUAGCAGGUAGUAAGUGCUCAAUCUACAGGAGCUUAAAAACCCAACCGCAUCCUCCAUGGGGAAGAAUCUGUCUCCUGCCUGCGGGUCUGAGAUUCCAAAACACUGAGGAAAUUUGGCUCCAAUGGGACCUGGUAUUUGGGGAGGGAGUUAAAAAGGAGGGGUGGGGAGCAGUUUUUGGAGAUCACUCUCUCCUAGGAGUUCCCUCCCCUCUUCCCAACUUCAGUUUCUCCAUCUGACCAGGCUCCUGCCCAGCCCCUCCUAGAGAGACUAGUUUCGGGGCUGAUUUUGUUGUUUGCUGUUUUUUUCACAUCUGCACAUACAAUCACUCAGUCUAGUGUGUCUCACAUGCCCGCAUGGAGCCACUGUGUGUGCACUGUUGUGGUUUUUCAUUUUUACUUUUCUGCAAAAGCCUUCUUUUUUUCCCUUGGUGACCAUUGAGAAUGGAUUCUUACCUAUUUUUCUGUAAGAAUGAAAAUCCCAUACAGACUGUCUGCCCGGACAAAGGGUUUCUUUAUCUGUCAUUCCUUUUACAAAUCAGAAUCACAUUGGGCAUCCUUUUCUGCAUCUUGUAUUUUUCACUCAAGAAUACCCACACAAGGCCAGGAGCGGUGGCCCAUACCUGUAAUCCCAGCAUUUUGGGAGGCUGAGGUGGGCGGAUCACUUGUGGCCAGAAGCUUGAGACCAGCCUGGCCAACAUGGUGAAACCCAGUCCUCUACCAAAAAUACAAAAAUUAGCUGGGCAUGGUGUCGCACGUCUGUAAUCCCAGCUAUUCAGGAGGCUGAGGCACAGGAAUCGCUUGAACCCGGGAGGCAGAGGUUGCAGUGAGCCGAGAUCAUGCCACUGCACUCCAGCCUGGGUGACAGAGCGAGACAGUCUCUCAAAAAAAAAAAAAAAAAAAUAUAUAUAUAUAUACACACACAUACACACACACACACACACACACACACACGAAACAAGCCCUUGUAUACCAAUUACCAUAGCAGCACUAGUCACAGUAGCCAAAAGGUGGAAACAACCCAACUGUCCAUCAGUCGAUGAAUAGAUAUGCAAAAUGUGAUCUAGCCAUACAACAGUAUUUGAUCAUUUUUUAAAAAUGAAGUACUGGUGGGGCGCAGUGGCUCACGCCCGUAAUCCCAGUACUUUGGGAGGUCAGGGCAGGUGAUCACCCGAGGUCAGGAGUUCGAGACCAGCCUGGCCAACAUGGUGAAACCCCGUCUCUACUAAAAAUACAAAAAUUAGCUAGACGUGGUGGCACAUGCCUGUAAUCCCAGCUACUCGGGAGGCUGAGGCAGGAGAAUCACUUGAACCCGGGAGAUGGAGGUUGCAGUGAGCUGAGAUCAUCCCACUGCACUCCAGCCUGGGCGACAGAGUGAGACUCCAUCUCAAAAAAAUUAAAAUUAAAAAUUAAAAAAAAAUGAAGUACUGAUGCAUGCCACAACGUGGAAGAACCUCAAAAACAUUAGGCUAAUUGAAAGAAGUUAGACACAAAAGGUCAUAUAUUGUAUGAUACUGUUUAUAUGAAGUCUCCAGUAUAGAUAAACCCAUAGAGACAGAAAGAAGACUGACGGUUGCCAGGAACUGGGGGGAGGCAGGAAUGAGGAGUGACUGUUUAAUGGGUACAUGGUCUCCUUUGGGUGAUUGAAAAUGUUUUGGGGCCUAGCACAGUGACUCAUGCCUGUAAUCCCAGCACUUUGGGAGGCCGAGGCAGGCAGAUCACUUGAGCCCAGGAGUUUGAGACCAGCCUGGGCAGCAUGACAAAACCGCACCUCUACAAAAAAUACAAAAAAUUAGCUGGGCGUGGCAGCAUGUGCAUUUAGUCCCAGCUAUCUAGGAGGCUGAGGUGGGAGGAUCACCUGAGCCUGGGGAGGUUGAGGCUGCCCUAAGCUGAGAUCACACCACUGUACUCCAG